GGCCGGAUAAGGCGUUUACGCCGCAUCCGGCAUCCGGUGCUCAAUGCCUGAUGCGACGCUGACGCGUCUUAUCAGGCC
rnacentral:ncRNA from 1 species